AGUGAACGCUGGCGGUAGGCCUAACACAUGCCAUUCGAACGGCAGCACAGUAAGAGCUUGCUCUUACGGGUGGCGAGUGGCGGACGGGUGAGGAAUACAUCGGAAUCUACUUUUUCGUGGGGGAUAACGUAGGGAAACUUACGCUAAUACCGCAUACGACCUACGGGUGAAAGCAGGGGAUCUUUUGACCUUGCGCGAUUGAAUUAGCCGAUGUCGGAUUAGCUAGUUGGCGGGGUAACGGCCCACCAAGGCGACGAUCCGUAGCUGGUCUGAGAGGAUGAUAAGCCACACUGGAAAUGAGACACGGUCCAGACUCCUACGGGAGGCAGCAGUGGGGAAUAUUGGACAAUGGGCGCAAGCCUGAUCCAGCCAUACCGCGUGGGUGAAGAAGGCCUUCGGGUUGUAAAGCCCUUUUGUUAGGAAAGAAAAGCAGCAGGUUAAUACCCCGCUGUUCUGACGGUACCCAAAGAAUAAGCACCGGCUAACUUCGUG
rnacentral:rRNA from 1 species